rnacentral:rRNA from 1 species
GACGAACGCUGGCGGCGUGCCUAAUACAUGCGAGUUGAGCGCUGAAGGUUGGUACUUGUACCAACUGGAUGAGCAGCGAACGGGUGAGUAACGCGUGGGGAAUCUGCCUUUGAGCGGGGGACAACAUUUGGAAACGAAUGCUAAUACCGCAUAAAAACUUUAAACACAAGUUUUAAGUUUGAAAGAUGCAAUUGCAUCACUCAAAGAUGAUCCCGCGUUGUAUUAGCUCGUUGGUGAGGUAAAGGCUCACCAAGGCGAUGAUACAUAGCCGACCUGAGAGGGUGAUCGGCCACAUUGGGACUGAGACACGGCCCAAACUCCUACGGGAGGCAGCAGUAGGGAAUCUUCGGCAAUGGACGAAAGUCUGACCGAGCAACGCCGCGUGAGUGAAGAAGGUUUUCGGAUCGUAAAACUCUGUUGGUUGGGAAGAACGUUGGUGAGAGUGGAAAGCUCAUCAAGUGACGGUAACUACCCAGAAAGGGACGGCUAACUACGUG